GUGUUCGUAUGAGGUGUUCCGACGCUCGUGUCUGUUAAUUCGCGCGGAAUUUUUCGAUAAUGCUUUGCAGACGCAUCUUUCUGCUCACGAAAUCUUCAUUGCUAGUAGGAAAUGGCCACAUUGGCUACAACGAACAGCUGCACGCAGCCAGUAGCCAGCGGGACCCGCACACUGUCGGCUGGGUACACGAUCGACAUCGAAACUUAUGGAUGGACUCCUGGGCUAAAAGCUGCAAUCAGCAGCUUGAAAAAUACGCAAGAGGCAUGGUACAUGGCAGAAGCAACAACAAGAUCAUUGCAUUUGAAAGAAUUACCAGAGGCCAGCGCGGCACAACGGCGGAUAAGCUAAUGAAGCAGUUCCCGGCACUCCCGCGACGGAGAGACUCACGUUGGCGCUGUCUGUCGAAUCCCACUGCAGAGCCCGCGCCGAUUAUCGAGCGCAUUUGUUGCGAUCCUGGUACGUGCUGCUGUUAGCUCGCUUCCAAUCGUUCAGCCAUCGUCGACGGCGACGCCGAUUUUCGCCAGCGGCAUCCUUUCGUGAAUGGAAGCUUCAUGUUUGUUGUCGCUCUGAUUCUGCGAACGCAAGGUGGCCGGAGGUAGGGCCACACCACCAGGCGGACGUACAAACGACGUGAACAGUGUUUGUUGCACAUAUAAAGGACAAAUUGCUUGUAGUGACUCCGAAUACCGUUUUGUCAAUCCGCACGAAGAAACCAGGUGUUUUGUUUGUGCUAUACAAACUUUAACAAAUCACGUCUGGUGCAUAGCACAAUUCUAGUUCUUGAGGUGGAUUGCUCGAAAAGGCAGAAAUUACUUGCACAACUCUGGGUCGUCCAGCGAGCCGAGGAAGCCGCUUCGAGACAAGGUGUCGGAACCGCAUCCGCGGUGGGUGCCCAGACCCACUAAAAAGACGCCGGAC